CCAACGCUGCACAGACCACAAAAGGGAAACCCAGGCUCCAGCGAGGGGAGCGGGCGAGACCAUCUCCGCACUCAGUGCAGCUGGACCGGGAACACCCGGCCUCCCUCUGAGCCGCCGCUCCCCGGCUUCCGCCACUUUUUAUCUUUUUUUCCCCCCAGCACGAAUUUACCUCCACCACCUAGCGUGUCCCCUCUCCCCAGGACUCCGAGCCUCCUGCGACCCAGGUUUGAGACCUCAGGGCUCGCGGACGCCUCUCGCCGUCUCGCCUCCGGCCCUGGAGAGAGCAGCGGGGCGCGGGUGGAACCGGGUGACUUCCCGGCGCCUCCGGGAGCCGUCGAUACCAAGCGGGCCAGGCCGCGUCCCAGGGACCGAGGCCACCCCCCGCCCCACAGGGGCUGGUCCUCCCGGGGGCCCCCUUCCCUGCCUCCAGGCAUCGCGCCCUCCUCCGCCCCUGGCAUCUCCAUCCCGCAGGGCCUCCCAGCCGCUCCUUGGGUCGGGGGCCCGGGGCCCGGCCGCCGCAGACUCACCUGGCUGCCUCACAGCCUCUCGCGCUCUGCUGCCCUCGCUCAGAGGGGCACGACAUGUCCCCGCGGAAGCCUGCCCCGCGAGCCGGGGCUGGGCGGGGCGGGGCGGAGCUUGCGGGCCCGCGGGAUUCGCGCCAACACCGUUCUCCACCGCGCUCCCAGCGGGAGAGUUGCCAGCCGGCCGGGCUGCCGACAGCAGAGAGCUGAGGUGACGGGGAGCACGCCGUGGAGCUACGGCCGGGGCUCGGAGACCCGCAGGGGCGCUGGCGGGAAGUGUCGCGAGAGGUGGAUGGACUCCCGCGAGAUGUUAUCCUCGGAACCCGCUGGAAGUCGGCGCGCGGGACCAGUGGGUGUUGCGUGCGGCGUGACCUCCGCUCCGAAGCCGCCAGCGGGUUCUCGGCAUGAGGCAAGGGAAGUCUUUGGAAGGAAGGAACGCGCCCUGAGGCGUUACGGGUGGAAAGCCUGUCAACUCUCGGUGAAAGCAAGGUUCUUCGAGCAAGGAUAA
rnacentral:lncRNA from 1 species